GGUGGUUCAGUGGUAGAAUUCUUGCCUCUCAUACAGGAGACCUGGGUUCGAUUCCUGGUC
rnacentral:tRNA from 1 species